UUGUUGCAGAAUAAAAUGGGCUCUGCACACAAGAAGCUGAAGAUUUUUGUGAUGUUCCUGUCUCUGGCUACUUUCACAGUCAUGGUGAUACUGAACGCUGGCAAUGCCACCGGGCUGUUCAAAGGUCUAUUCCGGAGCACCCCAGGAAACAUCUCGGAGAAGUACGACACGGAUUUCACACCAGCUGGCUGGACUUUUCUCAUCUGGAACGUCAUCUAUGCUUGGCAGCUUGCGUGGCUGCUCUACGCGCUCUCGGGGAUCUGUCGAAGGAAUGAACUCGGAUGCGUCUACCUUGAGCCAGACUUGCUGCCAAUGCCUUUUUACGUGGCGUGGAUACUGAAUAAUGGCCUGAAUGUUGGGUGGCUCUUUCUGUGGGACCGUGAAUAUCUGCUSGCAGCCCUGGUGUUCCUGGCAGCCCUCACUUCUGCCACGUGUACCGCUGUCUUCGUUUCGCACAGAGCCUUGAGCAUCCACGCCAC
rnacentral:lncRNA from 1 species